UCUCACACCUGGUCUUGUGUUUGCCA
rnacentral:piRNA from 1 species